GGUUAAGCGACUAAGCGUACACGGUGGAUGCCCUGGCAGUCAGAGGCGAUGAAGGACGUGCUAAUCUGCGAUAAGCGUCGGUAAGGUGAUAUGAACCGUUAUAACCGGCGAUUUCCGAAUGGGGAAACCCAGUGUGUUUCGACACACUAUCAUUAACUGAAUCCAUAGGUUAAUGAGGCGAACCGGGGGAACUGAAACAUCUAAGUACCCCGAGGAAAAGAAAUCAACCGAGAUUCCCCCAGUAGCGGCGAGCGAACGGGGAGCAGCCCAGAGCCUGAAUCAGUGUGUGUGUUAGUGGAAGCGUCUGGAAAGGCGCGCGAUACAGGGUGACAGCCCCGUACACAAAAAUGCACAUGCUGUGAGCUCGAUGAGUAGGGCGGGACACGUGGUAUCCUGUCUGAAUAUGGGGGGACCAUCCUCCAAGGCUAAAUACUCCUGACUGACCGAUAGUGAACCAGUACCGUGAGGGAAAGGCGAAAAGAACCCCGGCGAGGGGAGUGAAAAAGAACCUGAAACCGUGUACGUACAAGCAGUGGGAGCACGCUUAGGCGUGUGACUGCGUACCUUUUGUAUAAUGGGUCAGCGACUUAUAUUCUGUAGCAAGGUUAACCGAAUAGGGGAGCCGAAGGGAAACCGAGUCUUAACUGGGCGUUAAGUUGCAGGGUAUAGACCCGAAACCCGGUGAUCUAGCCAUGGGCAGGUUGAAGGUUGGGUAACACUAACUGGAGGACCGAACCGACUAAUGUUGAAAAAUUAGCGGAUGACUUGUGGCUGGGGGUGAAAGGCCAAUCAAACCGGGAGAUAGCUGGUUCUCCCCGAAAGCUAUUUAGGUAGCGCCUCGUGAAUUCAUCUCCGGGGGUAGAGCACUGUUUCGGCAAGGGGGUCAUCCCGACUUACCAACCCGAUGCAAACUGCGAAUACCGGAGAAUGUUAUCACGGGAGACACACGGCGGGUGCUAACGUCCGUCGUGAAGAGGGAAACAACCCAGACCGCCAGCUAAGGUCCCAAAGUCAUGGUUAAGUGGGAAACGAUGUGGGAAGGCCCAGACAGCCAGGAUGUUGGCUUAGAAGCAGCCAUCAUUUAAAGAAAGCGUAAUAGCUCACUGGUCGAGUCGGCCUGCGCGGAAGAUGUAACGGGGCUAAACCAUGCACCGAAGCUGCGGCAGCGACGCUUAUGCGUUGUUGGGUAGGGGAGCGUUCUGUAAGCCUGUGAAGGUGUGCUGUGAGGCAUGCUGGAGGUAUCAGAAGUGCGAAUGCUGACAUAAGUAACGAUAAAGCGGGUGAAAAGCCCGCUCGCCGGAAGACCAAGGGUUCCUGUCCAACGUUAAUCGGGGCAGGGUGAGUCGACCCCUAAGGCGAGGCCGAAAGGCGUAGUCGAUGGGAAACAGGUUAAUAUUCCUGUACUUGGUGUUACUGCGAAGGGGGGACGGAGAAGGCUAUGUUGGCCGGGCGACGGUUGUCCCGGUUUAAGCGUGUAGGCUGGUUUUCCAGGCAAAUCCGGAAAAUCAAGGCUGAGGCGUGAUGACGAGGCACUACGGUGCUGAAGCAACAAAUGCCCUGCUUCCAGGAAAAGCCUCUAAGCAUCAGGUAACAUCAAAUCGUACCCCAAACCGACACAGGUGGUCAGGUAGAGAAUACCAAGGCGCUUGAGAGAACUCGGGUGAAGGAACUAGGCAAAAUGGUGCCGUAACUUCGGGAGAAGGCACGCUGAUAUGUAGGUGAAGUCCCUCGCGGAUGGAGCUGAAAUCAGUCGAAGAUACCAGCUGGCUGCAACUGUUUAUUAAAAACACAGCACUGUGCAAACACGAAAGUGGACGUAUACGGUGUGACGCCUGCCCGGUGCCGGAAGGUUAAUUGAUGGGGUUAGCGGUAA
rnacentral:rRNA from 1 species